GGGGAUUUAGCUCAGCGGUAGAGUGCUUGCCUAGCAAGCGCAAGGCCCUGGGUUCGGUCCCCAGCCCCG
rfam:Rattus norvegicus chromosome 4, whole genome shotgun sequence.